GGACUACAGGGGUAUCUAAUCCCGUUUGCUCCCCUGGCUUUCGUGCCUCAGCGUCAGGAAGUGUCCAGAGACUCGCCUUCGCCACUGGUGUUCCUCUCGAUAUCUACGCAUUUCACUGCUACACCGAGAAUUCCAGUCUCCCCUCCACUCCUCGAGCCGAAUAGUAUCCGACGCCAUUUCCGAGUUAAGCUCGGAGAUUUCACGUCAGACUUACCCGACCGCCUACGCACCCUUUACGCCCAGUGAAUCCGAACAACGCUUGGGACCUCUGUAUUACCGCGGCGGCUGGCAC
rnacentral:rRNA from 2 species